GAGUUCGAAUCCUCUACAUAUUGGUGGCAGCAGGAAUAAAAACCUUUCCAAUUCUGGCAAAUUUAAAAGAAUCCUCUCCAUUCUAUAUUUUCGAAACCCCCAUCCUCCAUAACAUGCAACUGGUAAUCCAGUGGAAUACCACCAGUGCAGAAUCACAAGUCAUCCAAACUGAACACAUACCGAGUGCUUGCCAGGUGCUUUUUGUUUACCACCACUUGUUUGUGUCCCCAGUUGCUCUCAGUUGGUGUUGAUUGCUCUUCUAAAUAUUCAUCUAGUAGUACUUAUGAAAAAAGACCAUCACAACUCAAGCACUAUUGCCCUUCCCUCCGUCAUCUUUUAUUGUAGCAUGUAUUGUCUCUCAACUAUUUAGCUAUUUUAGAUACCUGCUGAUUGACCUCUCUUCUAGCAAUUGCCUGUCAAAUCUUCUUUCAAAGUCAUACAAACUAGCAGCCAAUCCAUCCAUCAUCAUAAAUCAUGUUUAUGCAAUGAUGAUGUGGGAAAAUGUAUAGAGUAUAGAUAAGUGCCACAAAGCCCUCUAUCGUGUAGAAUAGGGCUGGGUAUGUGCAUGCUUGUAGCAUAAAUUGGCCCCUUAGAGCGUUUGAGGUGCCAACCUUUCCACAUAUCAAAACACCUCUUAUUUUUUUUAGCAAAAAGUGUGACUCUCUCUUCUGAAAGCCUCUAGGAGUUGCAAUUCAUAUAUACAAUUCAUACAUUGUUUAAUAAACACACAAAAGUUAUACAAAACCCAAAGUAGGCUUUUUACCACUUGUGGUGUUUAAACUUGCUCCAUAUAUGAAGGUUGAAUGAAAAGUAAUGCCUCCACCUUCGUUAUUUGGGUUUGGAUGGGAGUAUUUUAAUAAAUCAAACGCAGAAAUAAUCCUUAGAAUGUGCUCUUUAACUACCACUAUUCACUUUUCCACAUAAUCACCAGACAAUUGGAUACAUUUCUGCCAAAGAUGAACAAGUUUUCUGAAACCAUCAUGGAAGAAGUCAAUACUCUGUUUCCGCAACCAGCGUCUCGCAGUAUCCAUCGUGCACAGAUCUUCCAAUAGCCAAGCAAAGCAAUAAUGUGACCCACACAUUCUUGUGAAAUGCCGAUUAUGCUUGAAAUUUCUCUCUGAGUGAUACAACUAUCAUCCUGAAUCAAUCUGUCAACCUUUUGCUUGUAAAACCCGGUGGUUGCUGUCACAGGACGUCCAACUUUUUGUUUGUCACGCAAAUCAGAUGUUCCCACCUCAACAUCUUUAAAUUUACUUGCCCAACGACGCACAGAACUCACAUCAACACAAUCACCAUAAACAGCUUGCAUUCUCUGAUAAAUCUCCUUUGGGGUGACACCUUCUGCUGCCAAGAAUUCAGUGACUGCACGUUGCUUAAGUCGCAUUGACCAACCGUCUGCGCAGGGUUCUGUACUUUGCACUUUAACAACACAACUGUUCAGUGCUAAGGCUUUGCACCAAAUUGAACUGUAGAUGAGAGUCUACUGAACAAGCCAGUACCUGCUGCAUACCAGUACUGCCAUCUGAUGAGGAGUUACGAAGGUGGAGGCAUUACUUUUCAUUCAACCCUCGUAUAUGUGCAUUAUGGAGAAGAAAUUGAGAGUCCUAUGCAGGCCCCUCUGGUAAGCUUGGGCGGGGAAUGAUGGGGGGCUGCCCCCCCCCCAACAGGAAAGCCUUGGGUUUGGGUUGGGGGUGGGAAGUGAAACUCGCUUCAUCUUAGAUUUUAGGUUAAUGUAGAAGGGCCUUGGAAGACCUACAGAAAAGGAGUAGAAAUUAAAGGUAUGGAUCACACAGAUCUGUUGCUAGGCAGCAGAAUGCAGCAGCAGAAGUAAUGGGAAGCUAUAGGAAAAGAAUGGAAAGCAAGAAAAAAACUGUCAUAAUGGAAUGGUGUAGGGGAGUGAUUUAUCAUGACCUUCCAGGGUAUGAAGCUCUUCAGUCCUGAAAGGCUGAUGUCGUCCCACCCCCAAUUGAGUUGUGUCUCUUUUGGAAUGGAAUAGGUUGGCAGAAGCUGGGGCUAACAGCAGGAGCUCAUACCACUCCCUGGAUUUGGACCAAUCAGUCUUGGAGCAGAAUUGUGCAGUACUCCUCUUGAGACUUCCCUCUGGUUUAAUACACAACCGCUGACAAUUACUCUUAUUUUUAGUGGAAAAAUCCUACUCCAGACUUGAUGUGCUGCAGUCGAGUUUUGCAAUAAAAUGCAAUUGGAGCACUGGACAAAAUAGAGAAACAACAUGCAACUGAGAUUUUGCACAGGGAUCAUCUACAUUUAAAUAAAAUGUCUUGUUUGCAGAUCCUUCUGAUUUCAUUGUGUCCUGUUGUUGGUGACAGACCUGGAGUUCGUGUUACCUGAGAAUCUUUGACUUGGACUGACUUCUCGUGAGUGUGGCUUUCUCCCUCCCUGGAUUGUGGACUGACUUGACGACGACUUUGUUUGACGGACUUGGAAAUGACGUUUGUUUGGGCUUCUUCGGCAACGACUCUUGGACUACGGCUGGCUUUGGCAACUCCUUCUUUGGGGACAGCGCUGUCUGUUGGUACUCUUGUGUACAGCGCUGCAUGUUUGCUGGUUACUUUGACUGCUUUUUAAUCCGGGUUUUCCUUCUGUUUAGCCCGGAUUAUUUUCCGUUUGCCUUUUGGAGACCAGUUUGGGUAAAUUCUUUGAGUUUUGGCCAGAGACACUGAAGUUAAGUGUCUCUGAGCUUUUAUUUGUUUUUUGCAAUAAACCUUUUGUUGGACUAAA